rnacentral:rRNA from 1 species
GAUGAACGCUGGCGGUCUGCUUAACACAUGCAAGUCGAACGGGAGUAGAAAUACUCUAGUGGCGGACGGGUGAGUAACGCGUGAGAAUCUGCCUUCUGGUCGGGGACAACCACGGGAAACGGUGGCUAAUACCGGAUGUGCCGAAGGGUAAAAGAGAAAUUGCCAGAAGAGGAGCUCGCGUCUGAUUAGCUAGUUGGUGGGGUAAAGGCUCACCAAGGCAUCGAUCAGUAGCUGGUCUGAGAGGACGAUCAGCCACACUGGGACUGAGACACGGCCCAGACUCCUACGGGAGGCAGCAGUGGGGAAUUUUCCGCAAUGGGCGAAAGCCUGACGGAGCAAGACCGCGUGAGGGAAGAAGGCUCUUGGGUCGUAAACCUCUUUUGUCAGGGAAGAACAAAAUGACGGUACCUGACGAAUCAGCCUCGGCUAACUCCGUGCCAGCAGCCGCGGUAAUACGGAGGAGGCAAGCGUUAUCCGGAAUUAUUGGGCGUAAAGCGUCCGCAGGUGGCUAUUCAAGUCUGCGGUCAAAGACUGGGGCUUAACCCUGGAAAGGCCGUGGAAACUGAAGAGCUAGAGUGCAGUAGGGGUAGAGGGAAUUCCCGGUGUAGCGGUGAAAUGCGUAGAGCUUGGGAAGAACAUCGGUGGCGGAAGCGCUCUGCUGGACUGCAACUGACACUCAGGGACGAAAGCUAGGGGAGCGAAUGGGAUUAGAUACCCCAGUAGUCCUAGCCGUAAACGAUGGAUACUAGGUGUGGCUUGUAUCGACCCGAGCCGUGCCGUAGCUAACGCGUUAAGUAUCCCGCCUGGGGAGUACGCUCGCAAGAGUGA